CUCAUGUUGCCGCUAAUAACGACUCACGAAUCUAGUUAUUGGAGGUAGUGGCCGCAGGAAAUUGACUUCUAGGAAGCUAUAUUGACUUAUGUAUGGUCCACUGUGCAACACUCCUCGAAAAGUAAGUCUAGUUCAAUUGGUUCAUUAGUAUUGGCUCAGGUCAAGUCACAUCAUGCUUUCACUUGUUAAUAAAAUAUUUUUGUUCUCAUUUUUUACAUCUCCCUCUUGUUUUUUUUGG
rnacentral:lncRNA from 1 species